GUUAUGUAUCAAAGGAGAGAAGGUUAGCAUUUGCUUUGAAAAAGAUGGAAGAGGCCCUUGGGCCUAACAACAUGCAUACAGUUAAGGCAUUGCCAUCUACUCUGUGGCAUCUAACCCCACAUCAAG
ensembl:snRNA